rnacentral:rRNA from 1 species
GAUGAACGCCGGCGGCGUGCCUAAUACAUGCAAGUCGAGCGAACGGACGAGAAGCUUGCUUCUCUGAUGUUAGCGGCGGACGGGUGAGUAACACGUGGAUAACCUACCUAUAAGACUGGGAUAACUUCGGGAAACCGGAGCUAAUACCGGAUAAUAUUUUGAACCGCAUGGUUCAAAAGUGAAAGACGGUCUUGCUGUCACUUAUAGAUGGAUCCGCGCUGCAUUAGCUAGUUGGUAAGGUAACGGCUUACCAAGGCAACGAUGCAUAGCCGACCUGAGCGGGUGAUCGGCCACACUGGAACUGAGACACGGUCCAGACUCCUACGGGAGGCAGCAGUAGGGAAUCUUCCGCAAUGGGCGAAAGCCUGACGGAGCAACGCCGCGUGAGUGAUGAAGGUCUUCGGAUCGUAAAACUCUGUUAUUAGGGAAGAACAUAUGUGUAAGUAACUGUGCACAUCUUGACGGUACCUAAUCAGAAAGCCACGGCUAACUACGUG